rnacentral:lncRNA from 1 species
GGUGGGGCUCCAUGCAGGAGGGGGUGGGCAGACACCUGUGUGGCCGCCUGGAGGCACAGGUCUCUCUGACAGCCGCACUCUCAGCUCCAGCUCCAUGGACCUCUCCCGACGAAGCUCCCUGGUGGGCUAAUGCUGAAGGGGCAGCCAGUCACCAGAGCGCCCACCUGGCACACCCCCCUCACCCCAGCCCUGCGCAUGGGCCUGCUGCUUGUCCCGCCUGUCUCUCCCACAGCCCCUGUCUUUUCUGUUCAAUCUCAGGGUAACCUU